rnacentral:rRNA from 1 species
GAGUAAUGUCUGGGAAACUGCCUGAUGGAGGGGGAUAACUACUGGAAACGGUAGCUAAUACCGCAUAACGUCUACGGACCAAAGUGGGGGACCUUCGGGCCUCACGCCAUCAGAUGUGCCCAGAUGGGAUUAGCUAGUAGGUGGGGUAAUGGCUCACCUAGGCGACGAUCCCUAGCUGGUCUGAGAGGAUGACCAGCCACACUGGAACUGAGACACGGUCCAGACUCCUACGGGAGGCAGCAGUGGGGAAUAUUGCACAAUGGGCGCAAGCCUGAUGCAGCCAUGCCGCGUGUGUGAAGAAGGCCUUAGGGUUGUAAAGCACUUUCAGCGAGGAGGAAGGGUAGUGUGUUAAUAGUACAUUGCAUUGACGUUACUCGCAGAAGAAGCACCGGCUAACUCCGUGCCAGCAGCCGCGGUAAUACGGAGGGUGCAAGCGUUAAUCGGAAUUACUGGGCGUAAAGCGCACGCAGGCGGUUUGUUAAGUCAGAUGUGAAAUCCCCGCGCUUAACGUGGGAACUGCAUUUGAAACUGGCAAGCUAGAGUCUUGUAGAGGGGGGUAGAAUUCCAGGUGUAGCGGUGAAAUGCGUAGAGAUCUGGA